rnacentral:misc_RNA from 1 species
GUUGAAGAACGUAGCGAAAUGCGAUAAGUAGUGUGAAUUGCAGAAUUCAGUGAAUCAUCGAAUCUUUGAACGCACAUUGCGCCCCUUGGUAUCCCGAGGGGCAUGCCUGUUCGAGCGUCAUUUCACCACUCAAGCCUGGCUUGGUGUUGGGCGACGUCCUCUUUGGGGACGCGCCUCGAAACGCUCGGCGGCGUGGCACCGGCUUUAAGCGUAGCAGAAUCUUUCGCUUUGGAAGUCGGGGCCCCGUCUGCCGGAAGACCUGCUCGCAAGGUUGACCUCGGAUCAGGCAGGGAUACCCGCUGAACUUAAGCAUAUCAAUAAGCGGAGGA